rnacentral:rRNA from 1 species
AGGAUGAACGCUGGCGGCGUGCUUAACACAUGCAAGUCGAACGAUGAACCUCACUUGUGGGGGGAUUAGUGGCGAACGGGUGAGUAACACGUGAGUAACCUGCCCUUAACUCUGGGAUAAGCCUGGGAAACUGGGUCUAAUACCGGAUAUGACUCCUCAUCGCAUGGUGGGGGUGGAAAGCUUUUUGUGGUUUUGGAUGGACUCGCGGCCUAUCAGCUUGUUGGUGAGGUAAUGGCUCACCAAGGCGACGACGGGUAGCCGGCCUGAGAGGGUGACCGGCCACACUGGGACUGAGACACGGCCCAGACUCCUACGGGAGGCAGCAGUGGGGAAUAUUGCACAAUGGGCGCAAGCCUGAUGCAGCGACGCCGCGUGAGGGAUGACGGCCUUCGGUUGUAACCUCUUUAGUAGGGAGAAGCGAAAGUGACGGUACCUGCAGAAAAGCACCGGCUAACUACGUGCCAGCAGCGC